AGUGAACGCUGGCAGUAGGCCUAACACAUGCAAGUCGAACGGCAGCACAGUAAGAGCUUGCUCUUACGGGUGGCGAGUGGCGGACGGGUGAGGAAUACAUCGGAAUCUACUUUUUCGUGGGGGAUAACGUAGGGAAACUUACGCUAAUACCGCAUACGACCUACGGGUGAAAGCAGGGGAUCUUCGGACCUUGCGCGAUUGAAUGAGCCGAUGUCGGAUUAGCUAGUUGGCGGGGUAAAGGCCCACCAAGGCGACGAUCCGUAGCUGGUCUGAGAGGAUGAUCAGCCACACUGGAACUGAGACACGGUCCAGACUCCUACGGGAGGCAGCAGUGGGGAAUAUUGGACAAUGGGCGCAAGCCUGAUCCAGCCAGACCGCGUGGGUGAAGAAGGCCUUCGGGUUGUAAAGCCCUUUUGUUGGGAAAGAAAAGCAGCAGGUUAAUACCCCGCUGUUCUGACGGUACCCAAAGAAUAAGCACCGGCUAACUUCGUG
rnacentral:rRNA from 1 species